ACUUGGAUAACCGUGGCAAUUCUAGUGCUAAUACAUGCUUUAAGCCCCGACUUCUGGAAGGGGUGUAUUUAUUAGAUAAAAAACCAAUCGUAGCAAUACGUUUACUGGUGAAUCAUGAUAACUAUUCGAAUCGCAUAGCUUUGCUGGCGAUGGUUCAUUCAAAUUUCUGCCCUAUCACCUUUCGAUGGUAGUAUAGAGGACUACCAUGGGUAUAACGGGUAACGGAGAAUUAGGGUUCGAUUCCGGAGAGGGAGCCUGAGAAACGGCUACCACAUCCAAGGAAGGCAGCAGGCGCGCAAAUUACCCGAUCCCGAUACGGGGAGGUAGUGACAAUAAAUAACAAUACAGAGCUUUUCAAGUUUUGUAAUUGUAAUGAGAACAAAUUAAACCUCUUAACGAGAACCAACUGGAGGGCAAGUCUGGUGCCAGCAGCCGCGGUAAUUCCAGCUCCAAUAGCGUAUAUUAAAGUUGUUGCAGUUAAAAAGCUCGUAGUUGAACUUUGGCCUUGGCUGGGCGGUCUACUCGAAUGAGUAGUACUUCUCUGGCUGAGGCUUUCCUUCUGGCGAACUAUUGUGCCAUUCACUUGGUGCGAUAGGGAACCAGGACUUUUACUUUGAAAAAAUUAGAGUGUUUAAAGCAGGCUUACGCUUGAAUACAUUAGCAUGGAAUAAUAAAAUAGGACUUUGGUUUUAUUUUGUUGGUUUUCGAAACCGAAGUAAUGAUUAAUAGGGAUAGUUGGGGGCAUUCGUAUUUAGCCGUCAGAGGUGAAAUUCUUGGAUUGGCUAAAGACGAACUUCUGCGAAAGCAUUUGUCAGGGAUGUUUUCAUUAAUCAAGAACGAAAGUUAGGGGAUCGAAGACGAUCAGAUACCGUCGUAGUCUUAACCAUAAACUAUGCCGACUAGGGAUCGGACAAUGUUCAAUAAUGACUUGUUCGGCACCUUAUGAGAAAUCAAAGUUUUUAGGUCCCGGGGGGAGUAUGGUCGCAAGGCUGAAACUUAAAGGAAUUGACGGAAGGGCACCACCAGGAGUGGAGCCUGCGGCUUAAUUUGACCCAACACGGGGAAACUCACCAGGUCCAGACAUAGUAAGGAUUGACAGAUUGAGAGCUCUUUCUUGAUUCUAUGGGUGGUGGUGCAUGGCCGUUCUUAGUUGGUGGAGUGAUUUGUUUGGUUAAUUCCGUUAACGAACGAGGCCUUAACCUGCUAAAUAGUUGCAUCAACUCUGGUUGAUGAUCGACUUCUUAGAGGGACUAUAGACGUUUAGUCUAUGGAAGUUUGAGGCAAUAACAGGUCUGUGAUGCCCUUAGAUGUUCUGGGCCGCACGCGCGCUACACUGAUAACAGCAACAAGUAAUUCACCUUGGCCGGAAGGUCCGGGUAAUCUUCUGAAAUGUUACCG
rnacentral:rRNA from 1 species